UGUUUGAGUUUGUGCAUUCGCCUUUUGGAUUUGUUUUUAUCCACAAACACGUGUUCAAGAAAUAACAAAGUUAUCGCAGUUUGAUAUCGGCAUCGGCAUCGACACGAGCAUGGUAACAAGAGAAGAUGUGAGUUCACGUUAGUUUAAUUUUGUUUCUGGUUGUAAGUAGUUGAACUUGAAAGUGGAAAAAAAUGUCAGCCAAUUAUAAAGUGAUUAUAUCGAAAAACUUAAACAAGUAUUCGGUUUUUGCAUUUGCUGUGUGCGGAUCAACAACAUAUCAACGAAACAACUGGUUUUUAACAUUUUGUACAUCUAAUUAAAGGCGUAUCAUUCAAUUUUCAACGUGUUAAGAGGCAAGUUGCGGCGCUAUUCCAAGCGGACUUUAUAUUUUAUUCUGUUUUAGUGUAUGUGUCGGCCUCGCGUGGUAGGUUCCUGAACUGCUGCCCCUCGCUACUCAAUUUCAGAAAUUGUUCCCUAGAUGGCGCCACGGGUAUAUUUCUGGUGAAAAUUUUUCUCAAUUUUUACAAUUUUUUUGUUAUUUGCCGAAUUUAUUUACAAGCGCCGAUUGUGUACGAACUUUUGCCAGUAGCAAAUCAAGCAAUUUUUAGUCAAAACCUGUAACUGGGUAGCAGCGUUGGGUGUAUUAUUGGUACAACACACUGUCGGCUAGAUGGCGCCACGAGGACUGUUUCGGUAAUUAUGCAAUAAAUUUAUAUUUGUUUUCAACCAUCGGUGGCAAAAAAAUAUUGUAAGUACGUACUUUUAAUUAUAAUAAUUUUGUAGCGUUUGUAUGUUGCUUGUACCUUUAUAAUUUAGUUUACAAUUUCAAUUAUUUUUAACUGCCUGCUAAAAAUAUAAUAUGAGUUAUUUACAAAAUUGUUUAAUUGUUAAAUGAUACUAAGAUAGUUUAGCAUAGAAUGGUGGAUAAUUAUUAAAAUAGAUACAAUUAAA